CCUUCCGUAAGGGGAACCUGCGGAAGGAUCAUUAACUAGUAUUGAAGUCCACGGGGAUCAGGCUUUCCGAAAGGAGGGUGGGGGGAUGUUUGGUUCCCCCUGCUUGGGUAGACUGGAGAGCAUGGUGUAGCUAUCGUAAUGGUAGCUAGAUUAUGUUUGGCCUCUGCUGAUCGAGCUUGUCACCUGAAUUCUACUACCCUUGCUUUUUGCGCACCCAUUGUUUCCUCGGCAGGCUUGCCUGCCAGUAGGACCCUUUAAAACCCUUUGUAAUUGCAAUCAGCGUCAGAAACAACGUAAUCGUUACAACUUUCAACAACGGAUCUCUUGGUUCUGGCAUCGAUGAAGAACGCAGCGAAAUGCGAUAAGUAGUGUGAAUUGCAGAAUUCAGUGAAUCAUCGAAUCUUUGAACGCACAUUGCGCCCCUUGGUAUUCCAUGGGGCAUGCCUGUUCGAGCGUCAUUUGUACCCUCCAGCCCUGCUGGGUGUUGGGCGUUUUGUUCCGCUACGCGCGUGAACUCGCCUCAAAUGCAUUGGCAGCCCGCCGUCCCGUGUGGGAGCGCAGCACAUUUUGCGCUCUCCGCUGCUGACGGUGGCAUCCACAAGUCUACCAUUUUACGCUUGACCUCGGAUCAGGUAGGGAUACCCGCUGAACUUAAGCAUAUCAAUAAGCGGGAGGAA
rnacentral:rRNA from 1 species